CAGACUCAGCUCGCCUGCACUCAGGUGAUUAAAAUCUUUUAUUGCCCACACAAAGCAAAGCCUGUUUGGUGGUCUCUUCACAUGGACGUGCAUGAAAUUUGGUGCCAUGACUUGGAUUGGGGGACCUCCCUUGGGAGAUCAAUCACCUGUCCUCCUGCUCUUUGCUCCAUGAGAAAGAUCUACCUAUGACCUCAGGUCCUUAGACCAACCAGCCCAAGAAACAUCUCACCAAUUUCAAAUCUGAUCUGCUCAGCUUAGCAACUGAAGAUUGACGCUGCCCGAUCACAUCUGAAGCUCCCUGGACCAUCAGGGAUGCCGAGCUUCCGGUAACUCUCACAGUGGAGGAUAAUUUCUUUGGUCAUGUCUUCAAGUUCACUCUCUUUUUUUUGCAACUGGAGAAAAUGACCAUGUGAAUACACAGAGAGAACACUAUAUGAAGUUGAAGGCAGAGAUUGGAGUGAUGAGUCUACAAGCCAAUGAAUGCCAAAAAUUACAGAUCAUCAUGAGAAGGUGGAGGAGAGACAUGGAACAUUACCAAUACCCUGAUUUUAUAUUUCUGACAUCCAGAACUCAGAGAUGAGAAAAACCAGAAUAUGAUACAGUUUCCUGUAACACCUCUGGUAACUAAGCCUUAAACUGGGCAUGGACAUUGCUCCAUGGACUACAACCUCUCUUAUUUUAACUGCAUCAGUGACACUAUUAGGCCAAACAUAUUUCUGGCUAUUUUUAUUACUUCGGAAAUGUUCAUCUGGUGACUCAGCAAAAACACUAAUUAUCUCAUCUUCUUUCCCCAUUUUGGAGAAGGACAAAUUGAGGAUUGACCAUUCAAGAAAGAUAUAAUAAUAAAAUAGAAAUAAAAGUGCAUAAGGAUUUUCUUCAUUUUCUAGAGCUCUUUUCAUGACAAAAUGUUUUUAAUUAAAGAUGAGUUAAAUCAAAAGAAUGGAAGAAAUUAAACGAGACACUUAUUUUUUAACACCUGCUAACAGGUGCUAAAAUCUGUUUGAAUUCUGUGAAUGAUGAUUUCUGUAGCCAAAAUCUCAUUAUCAUAAAACCCAAGAUCAAAAAGACUGUGAAAUACUGAGGCUGAUUUAGUUUUCAAAUGCAAAGCAGCAGCUGGAUUAAAGCAAAAGGCUACUGGAAGAACCUGGAGAGACACAACUGACAUCUUUAGUCAUCGGGUGCACUCUCAGACAAUGAACAGACUGAUUGGACAUACAGAAAUGGGAAAAUUCAUCAUGUUCUUAUUCUAAUAAGUUUCGUUUCAGGAACCUGAUGAAUGGCAAGCUGCAGCAGGUUAUUCUUUUACUCAGCAAAGAAAAUACAGAGGUGAUUGAUACUGGGAGGACAUAGGUAGAAACAAAAUGCUUUUGUUAAGAUUAUAUUUACUCGAAAAUAAUGCCAUAUAUAAAAGUUUUAUCCAAGAAAAGUUCUUGUACAAUACAUAUAUAUCUAUAUUUACAUAUAAAUAUAUACAUAUGUCUACAUAAAUGUAGAUAUAUAAGUAUGUACCUGUAUAGCUACAUGAAAUACAUAUUCAUAUAUACAUGUAUAUGUAUGUACAUGUAUAUCUACAUAACAUACAUAUGCAUAUGUACAAAAAAAGGUAAUUGAAACAAAGAAUGCUUUUUCAAAAGUUGAGAUUGAUAUACUCUCAGCUUUGAUAAAAGUCUAAUAUAAAAUAUACUAUUAAGGAAAAAAUUCACUGUACCCCAAAAGAGUUUUUAAAUGCAUUCUCCAUUAUGCCACACAAUAUUCUAAUGAUCACCUUUCAAUUUAUUGCUAAGAGGAUUCUUUGCCUCUUUAACAGGAAUAAUUCUAUCAAAGUAUAGAAUGUCUUAGGAACAAAGUACACAUAGUUACUUAAAAAGAAAGAGAGAAAGAAAUUAAAGCUGCUGCUCCAUGUAAUUGCAAGCUCAAGUAUUAUUGUUAUUAUUAUAGUUGUUGUUGUUUUCUGGUUCUGGAUCUUGUUAUUUAAAAUAAGAGAAUGAAUUCUGCACAGCCCAGGAAGUAAUAAACAAAGUGGAAAGACAUCCCAUGGAAUGGAAAAAAAUAUUUGCAAACUAUCCAUCUGACAAGGGAUUAAUAACCAUAAUAUAUAUGGGUAAGACAAAAGAGAUUUUUGGCACUGUAAGAAAUGGGGCACACACACAUCUGUAAGUAUCAAUUAUUAUUAUUAAUGUUUAUUAGAAAUG